CUUCAUUCUUAAAAUGAGGAGGUCAGACUAGACAAGCUGUCCAAGAACUCUGCCAAGUCUACCGCUGUGGUAGGUAGCACAGUGGAAGAAGCAUGGGACCUGAGCUCAAAUUCAGCCUCACAGACCCUUCUUAGCUGAGGGACCCCAGGCAAUGACUCUCUGGGAAGAGGUGAGAAGGGGAUUACAGUGAGGACAGUGUACCAAGGAUGGGGAUCACCAAAUACUAUACUUUCUGCAUCCCUCCAUCAUCACGCUGUGCCAUUUUGCUUUUCCCAGAAGGCAUGGUGAGAAAUAUGCCAGCAUUUCAGUGUGGAUAAUGUGAGUUCAAAAAGUAAAUCCUUUGUGCUAGUUUUAUAAGCUGGGAUGUUCGGGUGAUAGUCAUACUGUUGAAUUGGAGGAUUAACAAGGUCACCAAAGUAUUGGCUGUCUUUCAAUUUUUCUUGUGUGGCUUCAGAAUUGAGACUUUGGGGCAUACUGUCAGAGUAUAUGUAAAUAAAAACAGUUUAUACUGUUUAAAUAGAAUGAUUUGUAUCCAGAAUUUUUACUAUAGCUCUUUUAUGUAGUGAAAACUUCAUGCUAGGAAAAAGAUAUAAAUAUUUUGCUGGCUAUGUAGGAUCAAAAAUAGGAAAAUGAAAAUAAUCUUUACCUGUAAAAAAGGAAAAUGAUUUUUUUCACCUUAGCACUACUUAUAUAUCCUUACAGAUUAGAGUCAGAUAUAGAAUUUUAAAAGACCAUGUCCAUUGCCAUAACUGUCAGUGAGAUCCUGCUUGGGGGUGUUGGACAGAUCACUUAAUAAUUUUUCAUCUACAAAUGGGACUUGAGCACAAUUGUGAUAUAAAGAUAAAACAUAUUUUCUAUCAUCUGAGUAAAACGCAAGGUAAUACAUAUGAAAUAUUAAGGGCCAAAGAGAUGAUUUAGAAGCUUUUGACUACUAAUUUGGGGGUAAAAUACUUUUUUGUAAGCAUGGACCUAGCUGAACUUUUAAAUUUUAAAUUUCUGAUGGACCUGGCCAUCUUCAGCAAUGAGAUGAACCAAACCAGCUCUAAUGGAGCAGUAAUGAACUGAACCAGCUACACCCAGCGUAAGAACCAUUACAUUGAAUUCCCAAUCCCUAUAUUUUUGCCCACCUGAAUUUUUUGAUUUCCUUCACAGGCUAAUUGUACAAUAUCUCAGAGUCCGAUUCUUUUUGUACAGCAAAAUAAUGGUUUGGACAUGUAUACUUAUUUUGUAUUUAAUUUAUACUUUAAUAUAUUUAACAUGUAGAGGAGGGGGUGGGGGGAAGGAGGGGAAAACUUGGAACAAAAGGUUGGCAAUUGUCAAUGCUGUAAAAUUAUACAUAUAACUUGUAAAUAAAAAGCUAUUAAAAAUUUAAAAAAACUAAUGGAAAAACUGAAUUAUUCUGAUAAUACUUAGACCAGAAAGAGUUUGAGUUUUUGAAAUUCAAAGGAUCUUAGAUUCAGAAGAGACAUCAGAAACUUUUACUUCAACUUUUGAUACCAUGAAAAUUCUAUCUAUAGUACUGGUGAGCCAAGUUGCCAUUGGAAUAAAUAGCUUGGGAUGUUAAUAAAUUCUGGUCACUACUCGAUAAUUUGCUAUCUUUGCAGUAAAAAGAAAAUACUUGAAUAGUAGCAGUAGGGGUACAAUAGGACAACCACUGGCUUUUGAAUUAAAGAGCUAGUGUUUGAAUUCUAUUUAUUUCUUUUUUUUCUGCUUGUGUAUUGCUGAGUGAGACUCUUAUCCAUUUCUUCCACUGUCUAGUGAGGGGGUUGGAUUAAAUGAGAAGUUCCCAAACUUUUUUUACUCCUUGUACCUCUUGGCUUUCAGGAGAUGGAGCUGGCAGGGAAAGUCAAAGAUAACCAGAAAGUUUUCUUUCUCUGAGUUAAUAUUUGUAAAAAGAGAAGGAUCAGAAAGCUGAUGAAGCUGCUUAAAGUGCUGCUCGUGAUAUGUGAGUAUAUGAAUACAGAAACAAAAUAAAUGGAGUUUCUCAGUUCUUACUUUGCUUCUCUUAUACCUACCUAAAAGAAUGGUAUUUGAACAAGUGACGAAUGGAAACUCAAGAAAUGUCAUAACAUCUUCAUUUAUCUGUCCUUUGUGUUCUACAUGGGUUCAGGAAGACAGAAUACAAAAGAAUAUGGUUUUUAGGUCACUGGUUUUGAAUGGAUUUGUUAUCUAGAUGUACAUUGGGGGGUUAAUCAACUUUGGCACUUCCAAAAGCAUUCUUUAGAGUAUGUUUGGGGAAGACAGGACAGAUCUGCUUAGAUUAGAGGGAAAGUGAGACACGAGGUUGGUUUCCACACAGAACCUUGGAAAAGUACAAAGUAGGUCUCCCAAGAAAUGCUGGUUGAAUUAGACAUAGAAAGUGUGGGGAGUUCCCACCUUAAUUUUGCUGCUGACUCUCUCUCUCUUAGGUAUGACCUCAUUUCUCACAUUGACUGACAAGAACUAAUAACAAUGGUCAUUUUUAUCUUUUAUGUCAUUGAAAUUAAUAUUUUUUCAGGUCCUACCCCGGUUUAUAAGGCAAUUACAUUUAUUUAGAACAGACAGUGGCCUUCUUAAUCCAUGUUGCCUCUUGAAUUGGAAUUAAUUUCUCUAGUGGUUUCCCUGAUGCAUCACUUUGCAUCCAAAAUAAAUAGGUUCUCAUCGGAGUCCCUCACAAUGCUUAUAAAUUCUCAUUGGUAUCAGUUGGGAUACUAAGAAAGGAAAGUCUCUUCCUGCAAAUCUGAUUCUCGGGUGAUUAUCAGAAGCCAGGGUGAGCUAGGUAUUUCUUCCAAGACAUCAGGUAAAAGCACAAGAUUUGAAGUCAGCAGGCUCAGGUUGGUGUCUUCAUGGAAUAGCUCUGUGACAGAGGGCAGCUGUGGUGAUUUUCUUCUUUUAAAAUAAUAGUUCUCUCUGGGAGCAAUUUGGAACUAUGCUCAAAAAGUUAUCAAACUGUGCAUAUCCUUUGAUCCAGCAGUGUUUCUACUGGGCUUAUACCCCAAAGAGAUACUAAAGAAAGGAAAGGGACCUGUAUGUGCCAAAAUGUUAGUGGCAGCCCUGUUUGUAGUGGCUAGAAGCUGGAAAAUGAAAGGAUGUCCAUCCAUUGGAGAAUGGUUGAGUAAAUUGUGGUAUAUGAAUGUUAUGGAAUAUUAUUGUUCUGUAAGAAAUGACCAGCAGGAUGAAUACAGAGAGGACUGGCGAGACUUACAUGAACUGAUGCUAAGUGAAAUGAGCAGAACCAGGAGAUCAUUAUAUACCUCAACAACGAUACUAUUUGAGGAUGUAUUCUGAUGGAAGUGGAUCUCUUCGAUAAAGAGUGCUAAUUCAGUUUCAAGUGAUCAAGGAUGGACAG